rnacentral:rRNA from 1 species
CACUGCCGAGAAAAGCCUCUAGAUAGAAAAUAGGUGCCCGUACCGCAAACCGACACAGGUAGUCAAGAUGAGAAUUCUAAGGUGAGCGAGCGAACUCUCGUUAAGGAACUCGGCAAAAUGACCCCGUAACUUCGGGAGAAGGGGUGCUCUUUAGGGUUAACGCCCAGAAGAGCCGCAGUGAAUAGGCCCAAGCGACUGUUUAUCAAAAACACAGGUCUCUGCUAAACCGUAAGGUGAUGUAUAGGGGCUGACGCCUGCCCGGUGCUGGAAGGUUAAGAGGAGUGGUUAGCUUCUGCGAAGCUACGAAUCGAAGCCCCAGUAAACGGCGGCCGUAACUAU